CACUGAGAAGCUAAAUUAAGCAUUAACCUUUUAAGUUAAAGAAUGAGAGGUCGCUCUCCUCAAUGG
rnacentral:tRNA from 1 species